rnacentral:tRNA from 1 species
GGGGUUGUGGCUUAGCGGUAGAGCACUCACUUGGCACGUGGGAGGCCCUGGGUUCUAUCCUCAGCACCA